rnacentral:lncRNA from 1 species
UGUACGGGCGCGAACACUCAAAACAAUAACGAGAGCUUCAAUCACUGUGUGUGGCAACUAGCCCCAAAGCACGUAUUCUGCGGCAAGCAGAUAGUAGAAAUCGCUACGCAGUGUGCUGUGUGCACCUUCAAUGAAGGAAAUCGGAAGGGCACACUCUGA